AUGAGCAGGAACCAAUGAUCAUUUUGACUCAAGCCAGGUGAUGACGGACAGUACCAGGUGAAUUCAAUAUUUAACCAAUUGAGGAGGUAGCAGAAGCUGCAGAGGAUCAUGGGAUAGUCGGCAAAUAGGCUUUGCCACCAGGCUGACUGCGAAUUUUGCAAGUUUGGGACUCUUCACUGAAGAUUUUGCUUAGGAAAGAUAAAAUUUUAAAGAAGUUCUCCAUGCCUUUUCAUGGAAAAAUAGGACCAAGAUGCUUUAUGACCUGUAAGGAUUUCAGUUCUGGAAAUACUGCUGCAUCCUUAGAGGUACUCUAAUUCUUGACUGAGAGAUUUACUUGGAAAAUGAGAAAUUCCUGGACUACACUACUUGCCUAAAGUUUCUUGUUGGAGUCAGUCCUUAAGGCUCUAAGGUACUAGAACAAUCUUAAAGUUAUCUUUAUUUUCUUAAUUUAGUAAAACAAUGAUACGGUU
ensembl:lncRNA